rnacentral:rRNA from 1 species
UACGUAGGGUGCAAGCGUUAUCCGGAAUUAUUGGGCGUAAAGAGCUCGUAGGCGGUUUGUCGCGUCUGCCGUGAAAGUCCGGGGCUCAACUCCGGAUCUGCGGUGGGUACGGGCAGACUAGAGUGAUGUAGGGGAGACUGGAAUUCCUGGUGUAGCGGUGAAAUGCGCAGAUAUCAGGAGGAACACCGAUGGCGAAGGCAGGUCUCUGGGCAUUAACUGACGCUGAGGAGCGGAAAGCAUGGGGAGCGAACAG